AUGGUAUCAUAAUAACUAAGAUCAAAGUGCAACUAAGCUGUCUUAAGCCAAAGAUGUACUAAGACCCCCUAACAGAUGAUCUUAGCUCUUCAGAUUAAUUUAACUCCACGAAAGCUAAGGCACAAACUGGGAUUAGAUACCCCACUAUGCUUAGCCCUAAAUCUUGAUGCUGCCCUAUACCAAAGCUCCGCCCGAGAACUACGAGCACAAACGCUUAAAACUCUAAAGACUUGGCGGUGCCCUAAACCCAACUAGAGGAGCCUGUUCUAUAAUCGGUAACCCACGUUACACCCGACCGCCUCUUGCCAAAAGCAGCCUACAUACCGCCGUCGCCAGCUCACCUUCCCUGAGAGUUCAAUAGUGAGCACAAUUGCCCAAACCCGCUACUCAGACAGGUCGAGGUAUAGCCCACGGGGCGGAAGAAAUGGGCUACAUUUUCUAAAAUAGAAAACCCACGGAAGGGGGUGUGAAACUGCCCCCCGAAGGCGGAUUUAGUAGUAAAGAGGGACAAUAUAAGCUCUCCUUAAACCGGCCCUGGGCACGUACACACCGCCCG
rnacentral:rRNA from 1 species